rnacentral:rRNA from 1 species
UACGUAGGGUGCGAGCGUUAAUCGGAAUUACUGGGCGUAAAGCGUGCGCAGGCGGUUCGUUAUGUCCGAUGUGAAAGCCCCGAGCUCAACUUGGGAAUGGCAUUGGAAACUGGCGGGCUUGAGUGUGGCAGAGGGGGGUGGAAUUCCACGUGUAGCAGUGAAAUGCGUAGAGAUGUGGAGGAACACCGAUGGCGAAGGCAGCCCCCUGGGUCAACACUGACGCUCAUGCACGAAAGCGUGGGGAGCAAACAGG